rnacentral:ncRNA from 1 species
UUGCUGAUUAAAGGAGAGAUGGUUGGCAUCUCCCCUUACAAGGUCAGGAACAGCUUUUGGGCUUCCCUGUUAACACAUACGGAUAUAUUUCU